GUGAAUCAUCAAAUUUUUGAACGCAAAUUGCACUUUCUGGUAUUCCGGAAAGUAUGCCUGUUUGAGGGUCAGUUAAAUAAACAUCAAGGUUGUUGCUGCCGUUCGUUGUGACUCGUCGGAUUUGGGUCGUCUUACCUUGGAAUAAGUGACUUAAAAUUUUUUCAUGAUUUUCGGACGUAUUUAAAUCGCUUACGUACUUUUGAGAUAUCGAAUGCUUAUUAGUGUCAGUCGUUCC
rnacentral:misc_RNA from 1 species